rnacentral:rRNA from 1 species
UACGGAGGGUGCAAGCGUUAUCCGGAUUCACUGGGUUUAAAGGGUGCGUAGGCGGGCCGGUAAGUCCGUGGUGAAAUCUCUGAGCUUAACUCAGAAACUGCCAUGGAUACUAUUUGUCUUGAAUAUUGUGGAGGUAAGCGGAAUAUGUCAUGUAGCGGUGAAAUGCUUAGAUAUGACAUAGAACACCAAUUGCGAAGGCAGCUUACUACACAGUUAUUGACGCUGAGGCACGAAAGCGUGGGGAUCAAACAGG